ensembl:lncRNA LINC00343 long intergenic non-protein coding RNA 343
AUGGGAAAGAAACCUGGAAAGGUAGGGAGGUAUGGAUAUGGACAAGCUAUGCCAAGGAGCAGGGCUUUGUCAUGGAGAGUGACUAGGUGCUUUUACAUAGGAAAGUCACCUGAUAAUAUUAAAACCUGUGAAAUAUCACUCUGGUGGAAGUGUGAAUGAAUUUGAAAGGGGUGUAACACUGUUCUACUUUGUUUACUCCUCAGUACCCUUGGCUGUGUACAUUUGAGUAAAGAGAGCACUAUAAAAUCAAAAACCAAUGAAAUGGUUUCCAGAACACAGAACUAUUAAGCUUAAGAAAAGGACAGAAGGAACUGAAGAGAGAGGAACUGUUUUGGAGCAUCACACUUCCACCUCAGAAGAAAUAAGGAAGGAAGGAGGAGGGUGUUCCCACGGCUCUUCAACCAGGCCGGCUCUUCAGCCUACAUCCCCAUCUCAUCAAGUAAAAGGGAUUUUUCAACUGGACCAACCAGAUGGUUUAACAGUGCACUCCCACACCAUUCAACUACGCAAGGGAGAUACACUUAACAUAUGCAGUCGUAUAACACCUACUAACAUUUUCAAACAUUAAACCUUUAAAAAAGAGUUCUAAAGAAAUAGAAGCUUGAAGUAUCAUCUCUCAAGUAUAUAGACACUACUUCAUGGUGUGGUAAUAUAUGCAUAUAGAAGCUAGUAAACACCUCCAGGAGAUGCAAAAGGAAUUAGAACUGCCACAAGGUGCAAGCAAAACCUUGAGGAUAUGGGAGGACACCUGAGACGGCAGGCCAGAAGUCACUCAGUAGGAGAAACAUCCGUUAGAAGUAAUAAUGUGGGAUUGCUGAAGUAAAGACUAUAGGAAGAAAAAAGUGUCUGUGUGUAGGAAACGGAAAGGGAGAGAAAAAUACACUGAGAUGGUAAAGUAAGGAAGUGGAAGAUCAGCAGAAUGUGCAGAUGCCAAGCCAUCCAAGAAAAUCAUCUCUUGUGAUUGUUGCGAAGUCAACUAGCUAAUGUGACUCACUGCUAGGCUGUUGGAUCUGAGACUUAUGUGGGAUAAUUUAGAAACUUGCUAGUGUCUUAAGAUCAAUUACUCACCAAUGAGAGUGGCAUUGAACUGUGAAUGUUCCUCCUAGAUUUUCCAUGAAGACUAAUGGUUUUGUCUUGUCUUGAAUUUGUUUUAAUUACAAUUUGUAUACAUCCUGUUCCACCCUGAAAUUUUUAUUUUCCAAAUGGUUUUUCAUUUAAAGAGACUAAAUAAAGGUUCUGACUGAGUUGUACUUGUGGGAACUCCAAAAUCUUUUUAUAGGAAGCUAUUUUCAUCAAAUAGUGUUGAGAAUCAAGUUUCCAGUUGGAGAAAAUAACAGAGACAUGCAAAUUCAGGAUGUAGCUGUACAGCAAUGUUAGUGAAGAGAGAAAAUUUUGAGUCAUUUAGACAUUAACCAUUAAGCAUCUGGAUUUUUUUAAAUGUUAAGACAGAAAAAAAUACCUGUAUGUCAACCAAAAUUUUAUUUAAUUUAGUGAACUGUGAUAGGGACUCCUCUCUGCUCAUCCAAAUCCAGGUUUUCUUCUGCUCCUGGACACAUAAGCAGGGUAUGUGUUGCAGUUAGCUGUGGCCAGGACAUUGGACUUGUGGUCAAUGGAAUAUGCACAAGAAGAGAUGUGCGAUAUUUCCAAGCCUGACUCCCUAAACAGUAAAUACUUUCGAGUCAUAAUUUUCCACAUUCUGUCCUAUUAGCUGUGUCAAUGGAAUGACUAUUGGCAUCUUAGAAGUUAGAGAUGAAAGAUCUCCUAUCAGCCUGAUUCUUCAGAGACUUACUUGGAACAGAACCUCUGCUGUGGAUCUUAAACCACUCACUCUGGGGAAUGGUGAGGAUUAAAUUCCUAUUUUGUUUGA